UGGGGAAUAUUGCACAAUGGGCGAAAGCCUGAUGCAGCGACGCCGCGUGAGCGAAGAAGUAUUUCGGUAUGUAAAGCUCUAUCAGCAGGGAAGAUAAUGACGGUACCUGACUAAGAAGCACCGGCUAAAUACGUGCCAGCAGCCGCGGUAAUACGUAUGGUGCAAGCGUUAUCCGGAUUUACUGGGUGUAAAGGGAGCGCAGGCGGUGCGGCAAGUCUGAUGUGAAAGCCCGGGGCUCAACCCUGGUACUGCAUUGGAAACUGUCGUACUAGAGUGUCGGAGGGGUAAGCGGAAUUCCUAGUGUAGCGGUGAAAUGCGUAGAUAUUAGGAGGAACACCAGUGGCGAAGGCGGCUUACUGGACGAUAACUGACGCUGAGGCUCGAAAGCGUGGGGAGCAAACAGGAUUAGAUACCCUAGUAGUCCACGCCGUAAACGAUGAAUACUAGGUGUUGGGAAGCAUUGCUUCUCGGUGCCGUCGCAAACGCAGUAAGUAUUCCACCUGGGGAGUACGUUCGCAAGAAUGAAACUCAAAGGAAUUGACGGGGACCCGCACAAGCGGUGGAGCAUGUGGUUUAAUUCGAAGCAACGCGAAGAACCUUACCAAGUCUUGACAUCCUUCUGACCGGUACUUAACCGUACCUUCUCUUCGGAGCAGGAGUGACAGGUGGUGCAUGGUUGUCGUCAGCUCGUGUCGUGAGAUGUUGGGUUAAGUCCCGCAACGAGCGCAACCCUUAUCUUUAGUAGCCAGCGGUUUAGCCGGGCACUCUAGAGAGACUGCCAGGGAUAACCUGGAGGAAGGUGGGGAUGACGUCAAAUCAUCAUGCCCCUUAUGACUUGGGCUACACACGUGCUACAAUGGCGUAAACAAAGGGAAGCAAAGCUGUGAAGCCGAGCAAAUCUCAAAAAUAACGUCUCAGUUCGGACUGUAGUCUGCAACCCGACUACACGAAGCUGGAAUCGCUAGUAAUCGCAGAUCAGAAUGCUGCGGUGAAUACGUUCCC
rnacentral:rRNA from 1 species